CUCAACUCUAUUCUGGAACAAUGAAGAGACUCAAGCAGUAUGUAACAAGUGGGAGGCUCCCAGCUCUGAGUGCACACACACCCUAAUUACCACAUCCCUGCCUUAAAAGGGUGGGAAUGGGGCAGCCCUAUGGGCCACCUGUGAAAUACCAAUGCUCUCACUAUUUUUUCCACAGGCCAAAGGGGCUCUUGCUUCUGGCUCUAAGCACCUAGUCAACUAGCCAGACACAACCCACUCCAGGGACAUUGAUCAUUAGGGAGCUGAACUGGUAUGGUACACCUGUGAAAUGGUAAUGCAGGUGUCCUAAGGAACUCAGGGAGGACAGAAACCACAGAUGGAGCAGAAGAGCAAAAGCUCACUUAAUCUGAUUUUCAGUAUGAAUACAGACUACAAAAGUGGGGACACACACACACACACAAUAAAAAAUUCACGGGAGAAGAG
rnacentral:ncRNA from 1 species